GUCAGGAUGGCGCCGUUCUGGUGACUCAAGGAGGUGACCUGCAUUGUGCAUUUUCACUCAUCUCCUAAGGAGGUGAACUCCUUUGCUUGUACAGGUCCAGAAGGUGUUACUCUACACUUUCUUCAAUUUUCCUCAAGCCCUGACAGCACCAGGUCCUUCUGGGGGCUACCCUGGUGGUGCAGUGGUUAAGAAUCCGCCCGCCAAUGCAGGGGACACGGGUUCGUGCCCCGGUCUGGGAAGAUCCCACAUGCCGCGGAGCAACUAGGCCCGUGAGCCACAACUACUGAGCCUGCGCAUCUGGAGCCUGUGCUUCGCAACGGGAGAGGCCAUGACAGUGAGGGGCCCGUGCACCGCGAUGAAGAGUGCCCCCGCUCGCCGCAACUGGAGAAAGCCCUCGCACAGAAACAAAGACCCAAC